GGUGUGUGUGGUGUUUGUGUGUGUGUCCGUGUGUGUGCGUGUGUGUGGCCUUUCAGAGCGUAGAAUUUUUCUCCGAGUUGAACUGCUCACCGACCGACUGCCCCGGGGGGCUGAAGAUGCUGCCCUAGUCGGUGGCGAGGUUCCGCGCAACAGCUGGCUGGUAGCCCGCGUCUGGCGGCGGACGCGCGCGGUGACUGUGCCGUCUUCACGAGUGUCGCGUGUGCCCUCUGCGAUUACACUUCGUGUGUGCGCGCUCUGCCUAGCCUGCCGCUGCCUCAGCCUGGAAGACUUUCAGGUCCGCUUCUGCUUCCCGACCAGAGUGUGCUGUGCCUGGAUUUGUGCCUCAGGCCAGCUAAAAACAAGGUUCAGACAGACACUUAAGCAGGAAGUUACAUUCAUGGAGAAUCCAGUGCAUUGAAGUCUCUGCAAAAAAGGUUUGCAUCCCUGCAACUUUCCCUUCCUAAAUGCCGGGACCUCCCUUUCAUCAUUUCAACAAUCAAAAUUGCCCUCUGAACUUUUCAAAAUGUGCCAGUAUUUUGGUUUAAAUUUUAAGUAUUAUUAUGCAGGUACCCUCCCCGCAAAGCCUCAUAUUCACAACAGAAGGAUAGGAAUGUUGUGGUCCUUGCCUGCAUUUGGUCAGAGGAAAUAGUGCGGCAGCGUGGAGUAGGGCACAGUACCCCCCAGGAAGGAUUCCGGGCACCUUCCUCUUCUGUCUGCUUUCUGUGAUGAGAAAAUGUUUCUGGGACAGCUAGGGUGUGAGGUAAAGCUUUGUUUCGGGGGUCACCACUGCCAUGGGAUGUCAGUGCCCAGGAUGGUUUUGUGGUAGUCAUGGCUCUUAGCUCCUGGACCUGGGCUUCUCCUCGUUGAUGAGAAGCCUUUCCACGUGCAGACAGCAAGUGGAGGGGGCGCUGGGCUAGGGCUUGAAGCUACUGUCCUGUUUGGGCCAGCAGAUGAGAUCACAGAUGGACAGCUGCAAGGAGAAGAGGGAGACGAUCUUCUAAGGUCAGGGGCAGGUUUCUGACAGGGGAAGGGAAGACAUUGGCCCCAAGUUCUGGUUGCUCCAGGCUGAUGUGGAAUGGAGUGUGGGUGCGAGAAUGAACCGAAGGCUGGGAGGAGGUGGGGAUAAUAGAUCGCAUAACCUCACAUCAUAUGGGAUGCAUGGUCCUCGAGAACAGCCCAUGCCGUCGUGGGAUCUAAAUGUCGUCUCCUGUCACCAUCCCCAUCCACUGGCCUUGAAGAAAAUGUGGUUUUGUUUUGUUUUUAAGAUUUUAUUUAUUUAUCUGACAGAGACACAGCGAGAGAGGGAACACAAGCAGGGGGAGUGGGAGAGGGAGAAGCAGGCCUCCCGCCGAGCAGGGAGCCCGAUGCGGGGCUCGAUCCCAGGACCCUGGGAUCAUGACCUGAGCUGAAGGCAGACCCCCAACGACUGAGCCACCCAGGCGCCCCAAAGAAAAUGGUUUUGAGCUAGACAGACGGAAGCCUUCAGGAAGAAAGGCCAGCGGGGUCAUGAUGUCUUCUCAGAAAAUGCACUGCCCUGCCCUUGCUUUGCCUCUCGCGCCGUGUUCAUUAUGUCCUUUCUUCUUGCCUGCUUUCAGGCUGGUCUUCUCAUGUGCGUGUCUGUCCAGAAAGUCAGUACCUUGGACACAGGCUUGCUCCCAAAGGGGCCUAAUAAAGUUCUUGAGUGUUUCCUAGGCAGAGUUAAAAAUCCCAGAUUCUAGGGCACCGUUGUAGCCACACUAAAUGAGAUUCACUGGGUGUGGAACAGAGUGUGUGCAUUUUUUUUAAAGAUUUUAUUUAUUCGUUUGAGACAGAGAUACGGAGAGAGAGAGCAUGAGCAGGGGGAGAGACAGAAGGAGAGGGAGAAGCAGACUCCCCGCUGAGCCAGGAGCCCGACGUGGGGCCCGAUCCCAGGACCCUGGGAUCAUGACUUGAGCCGAAGGCAGACGCUUAACCAUCUGCGCCACCCAGGCGCCCCAGCGUUUUUCAGAGUUCCUGGGUUCUGACUCAUGUGGGCAGCUUGUCUGGGAACUACUGGAGCAGGAGAAUGGUCCUCUGUUUUUCCUGCCGCCAGGCUUCUCUCUCCACUGUGAGGGUGCGGAAGCGACACCAGUUUGGUGCCUUCUCUGGUGCACAAACCCAACGCCUUUGGCUAGGAGACUGACGUCCUGUCUGCUGUUCUAAGGAGGCUCUGAGAGUACUGUUUCCAGAAAGUCUCCUGAAUCCAGUCCUGUCGAGCUUCCAUCUACAUGAUUGCUGUUGAAAUCACAUUUCUGUUUCCUGUGCGGUCCCAUGCUAUAAAACCAGUCUGGUCUGUGUUAGCCGUUAUUCUAAAUAUUUUGCAGUGGCCAUUGGAGCUUACCAUUGAUUGAAGAAAUACACAGCAGGGUGAGUUUUCCACAACGCCUUCAGACCUGUGCCUCCACCACUUACAGCUGGGCGACACGGAGCACGUUCCGUAACAUCCGUGAGCCUCGUUUCCUGUAGCAACAUGGAAACACUAGUUAGUGGGGCAGUUUAGAGCACCUUCUGUGUUAAGACAAGGAAAGUUGUCAGGACAGCAGCGCCUGGCAUGUGGAGAGCUGUCAGUCAGUUCUAGCUGCUGUUCCUUUUGUCCUUCCCACAUCUCCCCGAAGCGUGUUGCGGACAGAUGGUGUCGAGACUACUUCUGACUCACUGGAGGGACUUGGCGCCAUCACGUCAGCUCCUCAGGGACUCCAGAACUGAGUCGGGGGCGGGGGCACAGGGGAUGGCGUAUGUUUCUUAGCAUAGUGAGUAUUCAGCUCUCCUUAUGGGUGAUGAUGAAGUCCGAGUGGAAACUUCUCUAGGAAAUUAGACCAAAUGACCCGUUCAUACAUCUUGUACGGUGGUUGGAAAAGUAAGGGGUCACUGGAUAAGGAUAGAACACGAGUCUGUGAAUUUGCAUAAUCAUGUCAAAGAGUGAAAUGUAAAGGCCAAAGAACCUCAUCACGUGGCUUCUUUUCUUGCUGUUAGUGCUAUUGAAUCCACUUCUCCUGCAUCAGAUGGUCACAGGUGAAUCCGGGAACGCUAUGAAACUGUUACUAGGUCAAAUUGUCAUCGCCAGUGUCUCUGGUACGAGUUUCCAGUCGUUUUUAUGAAGACUGCGGCUUUGAUACCCUUGCCAGGUGAACACCCAGUCCGGGCAUUUAACGCAGAGAGGAGCGAUGUGGUACAGUAGAGAGAGGAGCAGCGGGGGAAGCAGAGAGCUUUGGAUGGAAGGUGCCAAUUAUCCGUUUGAGGAUGUUGCCAUAGACCGAAUGAAUAUUGCCGUCUCCCCAGCAUUCAUGGUGAAGCCUUUCUCCAGUAUGAUGAAGCAUUUGCAUGAAUCCGAAAAUUCUGGGUCACAUGGAUUCUGAGGAGGCCCCAGAACAGCUUAAACGGUCUCGCAGAAGACAACCAAAGGUGGAAGACUCAUGCAUUCUGAUUUCAACCGUUAUUUCAAACCUCCAGUAAUCAAUACGAUGUAGUACUGAUGUAAGGAUGGACAUAGAGAUCAACGGAAUAGAACUGAGAGGCCAGAAAUAACCCAUACAAGCACGUAUGAUUUCAGCUUCAUGAAAAGAGGAGCACAUGUGGGUCUUCUGUGAUGUCUCCCCAGCAUUUAGAACAGUAUCAGGUACACAAGUAGGUACUCCAGAGAUGUUUCUGUAGUAGCCAAAGGAACCUUGGAUCCAGCAGUUUCCACUGCUGCCAAUUUCCACUGCUACAACUAUAAAAUUUCUAUAAGAGAGCAUAGGAGUAAAUCUUUGUGACAUUGGGUUAGGUGAUGGAUUCUUAGCUAUGACACCAAAGCACAGAUAAUAAAUGCCAAAUGGAUAAAAAUGACUUCCUCAAAAUUAGAAAAAAUAUUUGCUUUAAAGGACACCAUAAGAAUGUGAAAAAAACGGGGUGCCUGGGUGGCUCAGUUGGUUAAGCGACUGCCUUCGGCUCAGGUCAUGAUCCUGGAGUCCUGGGAUCGAGUCCCGCAUCGGGCUCCCUGCUCGGCAGGGAGUCUGCUUCUCCCUCUGACCCUCCUCCCUCUCAUGCUCUCUGUCUCUGAUUCUCUCUCUCACAAAUAAAUAAAAUCUUAAAAAAGAAUGUGAAAAAAACAAAAAGAAUGGAAGAAAAUAUAUGUGUAUUAAUAAGGGUCCCGUAUUCAGAAUGUAAAAAGAUUUCUUACACAUUAACAGUAAAAAGACAACCCAAUUAAAAAUGGGCUAAGCAUUUGAAUAGACAUUUCUAUAAAAAAGAUAUACAAAUAUCCAAUAAGGACAUGAAAAGAUGUUCAAAAAUAUCAGUCGUUAGGGAAACAAAACUUGAAAGCACAAUGAAUUACAACUUCCCAUCCACUAGUAUGGAUAGAAUUUCAAAAAUGAAAAUAAGAAGGGUUGGGGAGGAUGUGCAAAAAUUGAAGUCCUCAUACAUUGCUGGUGGGGAUGCAAAAUGGAACAUCUGCUGUGGGAAACAGUUUGGCAGCUCCUCAAAAAGUUAAACAGAAUUGCUGUGUGACCCAGUUACCCCACUCCUAGCUAUCUAUCGAAGACAAGUGAGGACAUAAGCUCUCACAAAAAUUUGCAUACGAAUGUUCCUAGCAACAUUAAUCACAACAGUCGAAGAGUGCAAACAACCCAAAUGCCAACCGUGUCAUGAAUAUAUCACAUGCGGUGACCUAUACAUACGGUAGAAUAAUAUUCAGCCAAAAAAGAAUGGAGUCGUGAUACUUGCUACAACAUGGAUGAGUCCUGAACAUAUUAUGCUAAGUGAAAGAAGCCAGACUCAAAGGCCACAUAAUGUAUGAUCCUGUUGAGUUGAAAUAUCCAGAAUGGACAAAUCUGUGGAGACAUGAAGCCGACGAGCGAAUAUCCAGGGUUCCUGGGACAGGGGAUUGGGGAGGGACUGCUAAUGGUACAGGGUUUGUUCUGGAAUUAGAUCUUGGUGACGGUUUGCACAACCUUGUGCAUAUACGGCUAAAAAGGGUGAAUUUGAUGGUACACGACUUACAGCUCAAUAAAUUGAAAAAAAAAAUUAAAGGAUAGCAUGGACCUUUGGAUCGGUUUUUGGCCAUUUUUAGAAAUACAGUUGGCUACACCCGAAGACAUAGUAAGCUGUCCAAAUCUUGCCUUCAUCAGUUUGGUCAUCAGAGGUGACCAUCGUAGCCGGAUUAGGUGUUUCCCUCUUGUCCCUGUUACCCGUAUUUACAAACUGCAUGUCACAUACAUAUACACAUACAGACACUGGUUGACUUAGGGGUAGUUAUUACAUGCUACUCCCCGUUUAAAAAUAUAUAUAAAAAUAAAAUAAAAUUCCUGGCCAGUACAGAUGUGCUCCUCUCAUUCUCUUUCAAGGCCAGUGGGUGGUCCAUGGUAUGAUAUGAACACUUCAUCUCUCAUUUCCCCUUCCAAAGGUUGUUGACUGCUAAUGGCCAUUUAGAGUUUCUUUCCCCCAGAAAUUUGUCUUGUCAUUGUACACAAAGCCUGUGCAAAUAUUUCUCGUUUUUUGUUAAGAUUUUAUUUAUCCAUUUGACACAGAGCACAAGCACGGGGAGUGGCAGAGGGAGAGGGAGAAGCAGGCUCCCCAGUGAGCAGGGAGCCCGAUGCAGGGCUCGAUCCCAGGACCCCGGGAUCAUGACCUGAGCCGAAGGCAGACGCUUAACUGACUGAGCCACCCACGUGCCCCUCAGCCUGUGUAAAUAUUUCUUUAAGACAAGUUGGCAGCAGUGGAAAUUGCUGGAUCCAAGGUUCCUUUGGCUACUACAGAAACAUCUCUGGAGUACCUACUUGUGUACCUGAUACUGUUCUAAAUGCUGGGGAGACAUCACAGAAGACCCACAUGUGCUCCUCUUUUCAUGAAGCUGAAAUCAUACUGAGGGUGGGGACAGGGUAGAAUCAGAUUUUGAUAGAUGCCGCCACAGAGCCCUGCAAAGUUGUUUUACCAAUUCAUGCUUCCCUCGGUGUGGCUGGGGUAACAAAUGCCCCUUUGCUGGCCUCCUCAGCACCCCAUUCAUGAAGUAGGGGCUGUUGACAAGAGGCUGAGCUCUUUAUCCCAGGCUGUCUACACGAUCUUGGAGUCUGCAGCUGGAAUGAUCCCUGAGGGGAUUUUAAGAGUAGUGAGACCGAGAUGGAAAAAUCCACUACCCAUUUAAGUGUAUUCCCAGGCAGGAGGGGAGCUGGAGGGUGUUGUGACCCUGUCUGGGCAAAUUACCAGAGCGUGCAGUGACAGGAGAGGGUGAAAGGUUGGUAGAGGAGCAGUGGGAGGUACCUUCCCGUGCUAGGAUGUACCACUGAGAGGCCCAGAAGCAGCAGUCCGCUCUGGGAGGUACAACCGGGAGUGAGGGAGGCUUGUGUUCCCAAACAAACCAUUGUGUGCAUGGUGCGGGGAGCUCACCACCAUGCAAGGACCUCCACUUCCCCUGAGGUCAACGUCAUCCCACCUUUUUUUUUUUUU